rnacentral:rRNA from 1 species
ACGGGGUGCAGCAGGUGCGAAACCUCCGCAAUGUGAGAAAUCGCGACGGGGGGAUCCCAAGUGCCAUUCUUAACGGGAUGGCUUUUCAUUAGUGUAAAGAGCUUUUGGAAUAAGAGCUGGGCAAGACCGGUGCCAGCCGCCGCGGUAACACCGGCAGCUCUAGUGGUAACAAUUUUUAUUGGGCCUAAAGCGUCCGUAGCCGGUUUAAUAAGUCUCUGGUGAAAUCCUGUAGCUUAACUGUGGGAAUUGCUGGAGAUACUAUUAGACUUGAGACCGGGAGAGGUUAGAGGUACUCCCAGGGUAGAGGUGAAAUUCUGUAAUCCUGGGAGGACCGCCUGUUGCGAAGGCGUCUAACUGGAACGGUUCUGACGGUGAGGGACGAAAGUUAGGGGCGCGAACCGGAUUAGAUACCCGGGUAGUCCUAACUGUAAACGAUGCGGACUUGGUGUUGGGGUGGCUUUGAGCUGCUCCAGUGCCGAAGGGAAGCUGUUAAGUCCGCCGCCUGGGAAGUACGGUCGCAAGACUGAAACUUAA